rnacentral:rRNA from 1 species
CACCGCCCGUCACAUCAUGGGAGUCACUUGUUCCCGAAGCAGGUGCGCCAACCCGCAAGGGGGGCAGUCUCCUAAGGAAUGAGUGGUAACUGGGAUG